rnacentral:rRNA from 1 species
CAUAUAAUAGUAAUGUGUAUGAUAUCUAACUCUUCCUUUUUAUACCAUAAGUAUAAGGAAGUAUAAAAAGAGAUUAUUAGGGAUACCUUGCCAUAUAUUAAAGAGAGUAUACAUUUAACUUGUGUUUAAAGAGAUAUAUUAACACAUGAACUCUGAGAGAAAUCCAAUAAUAAACGAAGUGAAUUGAAACAUCUUAGUAACUUCAGGAAAAGAAAUCAAACGAGAUUCUAUGACUAGUGUGAAUGAAAGUAGAGCAGCCUAUAUAAUAUCAGAAUAUAUAUUAAUAUAUAUAGUAAUUAAAACUAAAGAAAAAGUAGUAUUAUAAUAAUUUAUUUUGUUUUAAACUAAACAAAUAGUGCAUAUACUUUUUUAUUAUAAUAUUAUUACUAGUAAUGUUACUUGGAUUAUACAUUAUAAUAAAUUUUUAUCCACUGAUAUAUUAAAAAAUAAAGUAAAACGGGCAAAACUUGUUUGAAUAUAAAGGGGAACCUUCCUCUAAGGCUAAAUAUGAUAUAUGAGCGACAGCGUAUAGUUGUGUGAAAGAAAGGUUUGAAAUAGUAGUCUUAUAAGCAGCUCGAGUGAAAUUUUAUAAAUAAUUAGAGCGUACCUUUUGCAUAAUGGGUCAGCAAGUUAAUAUUAGAUGCGAGCAUGUGAUAAAUGUGCCUAGAUAAACCAAUUAUGAGAUAAUGAUUUAGUAUCUAAAAUUAGACCCGAAGCCUGGUGAUCUUACUACAGUCAGGGUUAUAAAAGCCCGAACGGGUUAUCGUUGUAAAGAUAUCCGAAGAACUGUGGUAAGUUAGUGAAAGACAAAACUGACCAGGAUAGCUGGUUUUCUGCGAAACCUAUAUAAGUAGGUAAUUCAAGUUACAUCAUAGCAGGUACAGAACUGUGAUCUCAGGCAACUUAUAUCUUAUUAUUUUAUAACUUCUUACGAAGUACAAUAGAAUAAGGGGGUAAUUUUGCAUAUAUCGGGCAAUCGUGAAGAUUUUAUCGGUGAGUAUUCGCACUCGGAAGGGCAAUGAUGAAUCUUGAAUAAUCGGACAUAGUACGAUAAGGUUGUAUGUCUAAAGGGAAACAGCCCAGAACAAGAGUUAAGGUUCCAAAAUUAUUGUUAAGUGAAAUUAAGGAAGUUUCUAUCUAAUACGACUAGGAAAUAGGCUUAGAAGCGGUCCAUUUUUUGAAGAUCUCGUAACAGAGCACUAGUUUAGUAAUUUAUUGCUAACCGCAAAGUUUACAUUGAUAGUUGCACCGAAGAUUUAACGGAUCUAAACAAUAUACCGACACCUUGUCCAUAUUUAUUAAUAAUUUUUAAUUAUUAUAUUUAAUGGGGUAGCAGAACGUCGGGUAAAUCUAAGACUUAUUCUUUUUAAGAAUAAAUAUAAGAUAACCCGAGUGAGAAUGCUGACAUGAGUAACGAAAAAGGGAUAACCCUCGCCUAAAGCUUAUGGUUUUUUUAAAGUAACGGCCUCUAAGUUUACCAACCUAAAGGAUUAAACGAUGAGCAAAUCUUUGUUAUAAAGUAACAACCUUCUUUUAAAUUUAGAUAUUAAGUGGAGAAGGUUCUGGAAAAACAAUAACGGUCGAAGCUAUUUAUUUCAAUAAACUAAAACAGAUGAGUUAUAAAUAGUUCUAUUAUUAUGUAUUUAUAAAUAUAAUAAAGCGUGCUUUUUUACAUAUAUUUUUAUAUAAUAAUGGAUAGACUAUACAACCGUACCUAAAGGACUACCCCAAGUAAGCUAGUAGAGAAUACGAAGGCGUUUGAGCUAACAAUCAUUAAGGAACUCGGCAAACUAACUACCGUAACUUAGGGAUAAGGAGAGCCAUUCCUCCUGAAUAAUAUCAGGUAAAGAAUAGGAAGCAUGGAAUAGUGUUGUACGACUGUUUAAUUAAAACAAAGCACUUUGCAGUAAGAUAAUAAAUCAAAGUAUUGAGUGUGAAUUCUGCCCGAUGUCGGCUGGUUAACGGAUUUGCUAAGUUGACUAAUAUAAGCUUGGCUUUGAAGGAAACCCCGAUCAAUGGCGGCCUUAACUAUAAGGGUCCUAAGGUAGCGGAAUACCUUGGCCGUUAAAUGCGGUCUUGCAUGAAUGAUUUAACGAUACAACAGCUGUCUCAAUGAUUGGCUCAGUGAAAUUGGAAUAACUGUGCAGAUACAGUUUACCUCUAGUUAGACGAGAAGACCCUAUGCAGCUUUACUGUUGCUAGUUAUUGAAUAUGAUAUUGCAAGUUUUAGAGUAUAAGGUAGCGAAAGCAGAGUUGAAACACCUUUACUUAGUAUAUCAUAUUGGUAGACAAAAUCUACGUGAAAAUAUAAACUAUUUUUUAAUAUAAAAAAUUAAUAAAUAGUUGGAUAUAAUCAUUAACCUUCUUCUUACUUCGCCUUUAUUUAUAACUAUAAAAAACGGCGAAGGAAGAGUAUGGAGGGACAAUUGCUAGGAGGCAGUUUAUGCGGGGCACAGAUCCCAUAAAAAGUACCUGGGUGUAUCCAAAGUUAAUUUUGUAAAAUUGUGAUAAUUAAAUUAUCACAAUUAAAUAUACUUUUUAUAAAAUAUGUAUAUUUUUUUUACUUUUAGUAUGUUAUUGGCUAUAGUUUUUGCUAUAAUUAUAGCAAGAGCUGUGGCUAAUCCAGCUAUAUAUCUAUUGAGUUAGAACUAAUAUUUUUUUUAUUCAAGUAAGAUUUUAUCUAUAUGGAAAAUAGAUGUAAUUUAAAUAUUAAUAUAUUUAUAUUAAUAUUUAUAAUUAUAUUAUUAGUAAUUUAUAAAAUUUAAGUUAUAUGAUAUUACACUAAUAAUAUAAUUAUGUUUAUUACUU